rnacentral:rRNA from 2 species
GGUGGUUAGCGGCGGACGGGUGAGUAACACGUGGGCAACCUGCCUGUAAGACUGGGAUAACUUCGGGAAACCGGAGCUAAUACCGGAUAAUUUCUUCCCUCGCAUGAGGGAAGGUUGAAAGUCGGUUUCGGCUGACACUUACAGAUGGGCCCGCGGCGCAUUAGCUAGUUGGUGAGGUAACGGCUCACCAAGGCGACGAUGCGUAGCCGACCUGAGAGGGUGAUCGGCCACACUGGGACUGAGACACGGCCCAGACUCCUACGGGAGGCAGCAGUAGGGAAUCUUCCACAAUGGACGAAAGUCUGAUGGAGCAACGCCGCGUGAGCGAUGAAGGCCUUCGGGUCGUAAAGCUCUGUUGUCAGGGAAGAACAAGUAUCGGAGUAACUGCCGGUACCUUGACGGUACCUGACCAGAAAGCCACGGCUAACUACGUGCCAGCAGCCGCGGUAAUACGUAGGUGGCAAGCGUUGUCCGGAAUUAUUGGGCGUAAAGCGCGCGCAGGCGGUCCUUUAAGUCUGAUGUGAAAGCCCACGGCUCAACCGUGGAGGGUCAUUGGAAACUGGGGGACUUGAGUGCA